CUCUCGUAUCUAUAUUGCCACAGAAUGCCAUCCCAGCCUUGUAUAUAUUUCUAUGCUGUGUCUCAUCUUGUCUAUAUCUCAAUUGCUUGGGGCUCAUAAACCUCACGCACAACCAUCAAAUGUGAUCCAUCUCAGAUCGAGAUGCCUACAAUUUUUAUGAGGUUUUUCGUCUGCUCUUUUCGUCACUUCGACAAGGGAAUGGGAGGGAGGGAGGAUGUCAAAGUUGUCGCCACUGAUUUACGGCCAGGGAGAGUUGUCAGUUCAUUUCUGAGUGUGUUUUUCUGUGUUUUAAAACUUGGCAUUGACAUUGGCUCCAUAACAUUUUAAUGGGGUGCUGGCAGGUGCUAAGGAGGUUCUUCGCUCUCUCUCUCGCUUCCUGUUGCGGUUAGCUCCAGCCGCAGUCUAGGGGGAAUUGGCAGCUCUGGUUUCUGUCCCUUUGCCUUUGGGGGCUGGUUCAAAUUGAUUUGUAAUUAGUUGCAGUUGCAGUCAACAAUGUGAUUAUCUCGGCAUUUGGCAUGGGCUCUCCACCACAAGAGUAGCCGGAGGUGGAGCUGUAGCUGGAACAGAAGGUGGAGCAGCGGCAGCGGUCUAAGGUUACACAGAUGUGCGCAGGCGUGGCCCAGACCUCAUCUCAUCUCAUCUCAUCUCGUUUCAAGAAGCGCAUCCACUUGAGGCUCGGUCGUGUGCAUAAAUUAUAUCCAAGGCUAAACAUUAGCCCGGGCAAUUGACAGCUCCCUUAAGUAGUCAUCUAUCCAUGACACAUGUACAUGUCCAUGUACAUAUGGACAAGGAUGUAGGGGAGGGCACUGAGUAACUUGUAAACGCAUCUGUGGCCAGGGAUCCUGUGGACAGCCGAUCCUCUGCCAUGUGUCAGCAACUGUGGCCGCUCUGCGAUAUCCCAUUCACAGCCGCUGACAGUCGUUCGGGCUCGGAUUUGGUUUCGGUUUUUGUGGUGUAAAUCAUUGAAUGGGAUUUGUCAACCAUUUUGCGGUUUCCAUUUAAUGAAUACUUUUCGCCCGUCCAUCUGUGUGCUCCUCUUUUUUCAUGCUCUUUCAGAGCAGUUAUUAAAUUAGAGUUUAAUCCAGUGCGGACACGGCUCUGUGC
rnacentral:lncRNA from 1 species